GUCUUCAUAGCUCAACGGAUAGAGCGUGAGCUUGCGGAGCUUAAGAUGGAGGUUCGAUUCCUCCUGAGGACA
rnacentral:tRNA from 1 species